GUGGGGAAUAUUGCACAAUGGGGGAAACCCUGAUGCAGCGACGCCGCGUGAGCGAAGAAGUAUCUCGGUAUGUAAAGCUCUAUCAGCAGGGAAGAAAAUGACGGUACCUGACUAAGAAGCCCCGGCUAACUACGUGCCAGCAGCCGCGGUAAUACGUAGGGGGCAAGCGUUAUCCGGAUUUACUGGGUGUAAAGGGAGCGUAGACGGCAAUGCAAGUCUGAAGUGAAAGGACGGGGCUUAACCCUGUGACUGCUUUGGAAACUGUGUAGCUUGAGUGCCGGAGGGGUAAGCGGAAUUCCUAGUGUAGCGGUGAAAUGCGUAGAUAUUAGGAGGAACACCAGUGGCGAAGGCGGCUUACUGGACGGUAACUGACGUUGAGGCUCGAAAGCGUGGGGAGCAAACAGGAUUAGAAACCCGGGUAGUCC
rnacentral:rRNA from 1 species